rnacentral:rRNA from 1 species
UACGUAGGGGGCAAGCGUUGUCCGGAAUCAUUGGGCGUAAAGAGCGUGUAGGCGGUCCGGUAAGUCGGCUGUGAAAGUCCAGGGCUCAACCCUGGGAUGCCGGUCGAUACUGCCGGACUAGAGUUCGGAAGAGGAGAAUGGAAUUCCCGGUGUAGCGGUGAAAUGCGCAGAUAUCGGGAAGAACACCCGUGGCGAAGGCGGUUCUCUGGGACGGUACUGACGCUGAGACGCGAAAGCGUGGGGAGCGAACAGG